ACGGACAAGGACAGAGGACACGGACCAGACCGUGGAGGAGACGGACCAGGACUGUGGCCGUGGACCAGGACCGUUCAGAUGGAUCUUCUCUUCUCUUCUAAAGGACGACUUCAGGGGGUCGGAUUAUUUCUGGAGUGAACUCAGGACGACGUUAUAGGUGGAUGAAAGGUUGUCUCCACCCACCUCCUCUGCUGAGAGACGGUUUCUCCAGAUUGACGUAGAUGUUGUCCUUCACCCCUGUCUCCAACCCCGUCUCCAACCGUCUGUCUUCUGAUUGAUUUAAAUUGAGUUGAUGAACAGAAAUGUUUUAUCUUUGAAACUUGCCCAUGGAUGAUGUUUGUUAACAUCAUUGGACGUCUUAUUGGACAACCGUGUCUCCACCUGGUUCUUAGUCCCUGAACUGGAUCUGGACUCAGUCUGGUUUGACUCUUUGCCAAGUUCACUUCCUUAAAGCUGUUCAGUUUUUUUUUGUUUUUUUUAAGCUACGUGUGUUGUAUUGGGAGGCCUCCCAGCAGGGGGCGUUAUUACACCCCCUGCAAUCGUUCUAACAGAUGCUAGGCUAAGUUAGCUUCUCACCUGAGACAGACAGGACACCGUAGACCGCGUUAGGGUUUUAGGACGAAGAGAACCUGGCAGAGAGACAACUCAGAAUGUUGAGGUUCAUUUACUCCUGACUGAAACUUCUGUCCCAGGUCUGAAGGUCCUCUGGUCCCUCAGGAGAUCGUCUCCCUGACUUGUCCCCAAGUCUCCUCUGGGUCUGUGUGUGGUCUGUGGACGUCCGUCCCUGGUCUGGUCUCAUCUUCUGAGGUGAACUUUUGCUGAGUCAGCGUGGUCUUUCUCUAACUUUGGUUGGAUGUUCGUUGGACGUCCAUGGAACGGACUUCUCUAAAUGUUGGCUCCCGGUUGGUGAAAUGGUUCAGUUGGCUCAACCGCAGGUCGUGGUCCAAAUCCUAGCCGUAGCUUCUCCUAAACCUGGACUCUGUCAGGUUCUACGAGCCGGUUCUCCUCCACACAACAGAACAAGGUCCAACCGAGUCGACUCAUGGAAGGACUUUGUCCUUCUCCUUCUUCUGAGUGUGUGGGAGGAGUUCUGGCCGUGGACCCUCACAGAGGUGUGUACCCUGGACGCAGUUUCCAGAACCAGACCUGGAUCCAUCUGGUUCUGUGACCCGGCCCACCCGGGGUACGCACUAGAUACUUAGAUCAGACCAGUAAAUGUUAAGGAACCUUUGUUCCUGCUGUCGUCGACUUGUUGUCGCUGCACGACUGAAUCAUUUGGUCCAAACUGUGGAGUCCAACAUGUCCUGCGGUCCGUCCUGUGGACGCUCCCACGGUUCAUCCGGUCCAAUUCCUGAGAAUACCUGCUGGGUUUGGGAAUUGUUUGUCUCUGGGGGGAGUCCAGGUGGAGGUGGGGGUGGGGGUCAUUCUGUGUUGACCCCGGUGCAGCUGUCUGUAACAUAAUGGUGUGACCUUUACCCUCUGCUCCUCGACCAGUCGACCAGCCGGCGGCUGGACACAGAAUCUACCACUUUAUUAUUUUAGUUAGUUUUUUUCGGGUGGUAAUCCUUACUCGGUCCGUUUCGGAGGGUUGGAGUCGACCGCGCCGCUGGUCUGCUGCACCCUCACGAGCUGGACGGAUAAUGUAUGCCAGGUAGGGGGCGCCACUGAAGUGUAGUCAGGGUUCAGUUAGUUUCUUUGGUGUGGUUAGGGGUUGAGGUGCAACAGCCAAUCACCUGGAGUUUCUACUGCAGCAGCGUCAUUGGCCGAACUCCCCGUGACAUGAAGACGGGUCACGACCCUGGGGUUUUUUUUGUUUUGUUUUUUUUUUUUUAAGCGAAGGUUUUGUCUUUUUGUCUGGUGAGAAAUCUCAAUGUGGUCAUGUCCCUCUGUCACCUGUAGGUGGCAGAGUCCCGUUUGUUUCCGUUGUUGCUCCGCCUGUGUUCUGUCUUGUUGUUGUUUUUCAGGUGUUGACUAAACCACUCUGAACCCACUGGAGUGCUGCGCCACCUACUGGACUGUUCACCUCUGUUGUCACUGAAAUGUUUUAUUUGUGUAUUUAUUUAUUAAACAGUUUCUUUAACUUUAA